GCGGCGUGCCUAACACAUGCAAGUCGAACGGGAAUCUUCGGAUUCUAGUGGCGGACGGGUGAGUAACGCGUAAGAAUCUAACUUCAGGACGGGGACAACAGUUGGAAACGACUGCUAAUACCCGAUGUGCCGCAAGGUGAAAACUAAUUGGCCUGAAGAAGAGCUUGCGUCUGAUUAGCUAGUUGGUGGGGUAAGAGCCUACCAAGGCGACGAUCAGUAGCUGGUCUGAGAGGAUGAGCAGCCACACUGGGACUGAGACACGGCCCAGACUCCUACGGGAGGCAGCAGUGGGGAAUUUUCCGCAAUGGGCGAAAGCCUGACGGAGCAACGCCGCGUGAGGGAGGAAGGUCUUUGGAUUGUAAACCUCUUUUCUCAAGGAAGAAGUUCUGACGGUACUUGAGGAAUCAGCCUCGGCUAACUCCGUGCCAGCAGCCGCGGUAAUACGGGGGAGGCAAGCGUUAUCCGGAAUUAUUGGGCGUAAAGCGUCCGCAGGUGGUCAGCCAAGUCUGCCGUCAAAUCAGGUUGCUUAACGACCUAAAGGCGGUGGAAACUGGCAGACUAGAGAGCAGUAGGGGUAGCAGGAAUUCCCAGUGUAGCGGUGAAAUGCGUAGAGAUUGGGAAGAACAUCGGUGGCGAAAGCGUGCUACUGGGCUGUAUCUGACACUCAGGGACGAAAGCUAGGGGAGCGAAAGGGAUUAGAUACCCCUGUAGUCCUAGCCGUAAACGAUGGAUACUAGGCGUGGCUUGUAUCGACCCGAGCC
rnacentral:rRNA from 1 species